AUUGCACAGAGAUGUGGGUGUUGCACAGUUACGGUGGGUGAGUGUGAGAGUUCAGGGUGGUGAUUGCUCUGACGAAGAACCUGUUCUUGAGUCUGUUUGUUCUGGCAACCGUGUAAAACAAGUGAUUGGCAACUUUAGUUAAGAUCACACGCUCAUGGGCUCCAUUUCAGAUACAGAUGUCAAUGCUGGAUUGAUUGGGGAGGCGGAUAUUGGAGGUAAAGGUGUUAUUGGAGCUCGCAUACCAAUACGCAGAAGGACGUGGAGAAAUGAGAGGAGGUGCAGGGGCCUAUACACUAGGGUUCUUUUGUAAAACAUUUACACCUGUGUUAGAAUUAUUAACCUUAAUAAAACAUUUACAGUCAUGUCAGAGUUAUUGACCUUAAUAAAAUAAGUUUUUUGUUUUUUUUAAACUGGAUUUUAUUGAACAAUAAAAUGUCUAGUAAUGAUUAUUUUAGAGAUUUAAAUGCAGCUUUAGCCUUGUUAGAGGGUGAAAAUAGAGAGAACGCUAGUCAAUCCAAUCCUGAAAUCAUCUCUUUGACUCCUGUUAUUGAUGCUGUGAACUCUUUCAACUGGCUACAACUAUUGGACCCCCAACUCUCCCCGUGUUGAUAAUACAUGAGAUAACCCUAUUGAACCCCCUCAAAAUCAGACACCCAGUCAUGAUACAUUUGAUGUUUUUGAUGCUAUCGAUAAUGUUCUAGCUCAAUUACAGUCUAACCAACAACCUAUACCGUCUGAAUUAAUAGCCUGUUAAAGCAGAGACCCCGUGAAAAUCCCUGUCCUUACUGUAAGGACGGCAAUUGCAGUGAGAUCAGCAAAUGCACUGGGCUUGACAUGCAUGGAGUUCUGCUCCUGAUUUAUACUGUGUGUAGUUAAGUUAUAGUUUUAUUAAAAAGGCCCAUCAAGGCCAAACUGUUAUAAUCUCUUGUGGUUUUCUGUCCUACUCUCUUAUCUCUGCUGAUUUUACUAGUACAGUCUACUAUAUUGCAAUGAAAUGCAGUAUAUUCUUUCAUUUGGGACAGAUCACAUAUUUUUAAAUGACUAUGCAUAGUAUAUUUACAUAUUUGGUAUUGCUGGAUUUAGAAAAUAAGCACAUUAAUUCAACAAGCCUACUGUGUUAUAUGACAAUACAUGCGACAUAAUAAAACUUGGGACUGAAGACUCAAUUUUGUCAAUACUUUUCAGUUGGGGCACUUCAUACAUUAAGUGACUUAACACCCUGAUUAUGCAGGCCAUAU